GUCUACGGCCAUACCACCCUGAACGCGCCCGAUCUCGUCUGAUCUCGGAAGCUAAGCAGGGUCGGGCCUGGUUAGUACUUGGAUGGGAGAUUAGAUAUAAAAACACAAUAUACAAUAUACU
rnacentral:rRNA from 1 species